rnacentral:lncRNA from 1 species
CUUCCUCACUCUUAGUAGAAGCAGAUAGCUCUAGAGUUUAGGCUCUAGUUAUCCUGCUGCAAUGAAGCAAAAAUCAGCUCUACAUUUGACUGGAGGCCAAAUUCUCCUUAUUUUCAUCUUUAUACAAGGAGUCUUGACAGAUAAGAAGUCCAAUGAUCCAUGGAAUUUUGGGUUCCCAAUAAUAGCAGCAUCUGAAGCUGAUAGAGUGAACCCAGGAGUGGAUUUCAGGUUUAAUGAGCCACCAGUGGACAUGGAGCUGUCAGGAUCCGGUGAUGACACACCUGUGGAGGAGCCAUUCAUCUUAGGAUUUGAAAGAUUAAAGCAGUUAUUCACAAAGAAGAACCAAGUCGAUUAGAAGAAGAGCCAAGAUGAUUAAAAGAACUUGUAGACAUGAUUGUCCCACUGCCUGUCUGCAUGAAACAUUUUUAUUUUUACGUUGGAAUCAAUGUUGGCCAUACGAUUGCAUUUUGUAGAAUUAGGUAAUGAAUUAAAAUGUCAGAUGCAAAAAAAAACAGUUCAAACAUUUUUUUUAAAUCAAAUUAUAUUCAUAUUCAACAAUAAAAAAUGACAAUGUUUUUUUUCCCUGAAGGCUAUGUGUAUAAUUGUACAGGAAAUAUUAAGAAUAAGCAUGCAUCUGGGAUUAUUAGCAUGAAUAGAUUUGAAUACAAUGCAAUACAAUAUUAAAUUAAGAUCACAGUUGUACUGUUUAUCAUGCAUCAUCUUGCUCGGGUGACAAUAAAUGCUGGGAAAUAAUAGGCCAUCUGACGUCUUUUCAUGGACCAACAUCUACUCCAGGCUAUUGG